rnacentral:rRNA from 1 species
CAGUCGCCGCGGUAAUACGAAGGGUGCAAGCGUUAAUCGGAAUUACUGGGCGUAAAGCGUGCGUAGGCGGUGAGUUAAGUCUGCUGUGAAAUCCCCGGGCUCAACCUGGGAAUGGCAGUGGAUACUGGCUCGCUAGAGUGUGUCAGAGGAUGGUGGAAUUCCCGGUGUAGCGGUGAAGUGCGUAGAGAUCGGGAGGAACAUCAGUGGCGAAGGCGGCCAUCUGGGACAACACUGACGCUGAGGCACGAAAGCGUGGGGAGCAAACAGGAUUAGAUACCCCAGUAGUCCCUGUCUCUUAUAC